AUACGACCAUAGGGUGUGGAAAACAGGGCUUCCCGUCCGCUCAGCCGUACUUAAGCCACACGCCGGGAGGUUAGUAGUUGGGUGGGUGACCACCAGCGAAUCCCUCCUGUUGUAUG
rnacentral:rRNA from 2 species